GAUGAACGCUGGCGGCGUGCCUAAUACAUGCAAGUCGAGCGAACAGACGAGGAGCUUGCUCCUCUGACGUUAGCGGCGGACGGGUGAGUAACACGUGGAUAACCUACCUAUAAGACUGGGAUAACUUCGGGAAACCGGAGCUAAUACCGGAUAAUAUAUUGAACCGCAUGGUUCAAUAGUGAAAGACGGUUUUGCUGUCACUUAUAGAUGGAUCCGCGCCGCAUUAGCUAGUUGGUAAGGUAACGGCUUACCAAGGCAACGAUGCGUAGCCGACCUGAGAGGGUGAUCGGCCACCCUGGACCUGAGACCCGGCCCAGAUUCCUACGGGAGGCAGCAGUAGGGAAUCUUCGCAAUGGGCGAAAGCCUGACGGAGCAACGCCGCGUGAGUGAUGAAGGUCUUCGGAUCGUAAAACUCUGUUAUUAGGGAAGAACAAAUGUGUAAGUAACUAUGCACGUCUUGACGGUACCUAAUCAGAAAGCCACGGCUAACUACGUG
rnacentral:rRNA from 1 species